rnacentral:rRNA from 1 species
GACGAACGCUGGCGGCGUGCUUAACACAUGCAAGUCGAACGGAAAGGCCCUGCUUUUGUGGGGUGCUCGAGUGGCGAACGGGUGAGUAACACGUGAGUAACCUGCCCUUGACUUUGGGAUAACUUCAGGAAACUGGGGCUAAUACCGGAUAGGAGCUCCUGCUGCAUGGUGGGGGUUGGAAAGGUUCGGCGGUUGGGGAUGGACUCGCGGCUUAUCAGCUUGUUGGGGGGGUAGUGGCUUACCAAGGCUUUGACGGGUAGCCGGCCUGAGAGGGUGACCGGCCACAUUGGGACUGGGCUACGGCCCAGACUCCUACGGGAGGCAGCAGUGGGGAAUAUUGCACAAUGGGCGGACGCCUGAUGCAGCAACGCCGCGUGCGGGAUGACGGCCUUCGGGUUGUAAACCGCUUUCGCCUGUGACGAAGCGUGCGUGACGGUAAUGGGUAAAGAAGCCCCGGCUAACUACGUG